AUUGAACGCUGGCGGCAUGCCUUACACAUGCAAGUCGAACGGCAGCGCGUCCUUCGGGAUGGCGGCGAGUGGCGAACGGGUGAGUAGAGCAUCGGAACGUGCCCGGUAGUGCGGGAUAGCUCGGCGAAAGCCGGAUUAAUACCGCAUGAGAUCCGAGGAUGAAAGCAGGGGAUCGCAAGACCUUGCGCUACUGGAGCGGCCGAUGUCAGAUUAGGUAGUUGGUGGGGUAAAGGCUCACCAAGCCUGCGAUCUGUAGCUGGUCUGAGAGGAUGAUCAGCCACAUCGGGACUGAGACACGGCCCGAACUCCUACGGGAGGCAGCAGUGGGGAAUUUUGGACAAUGGGCGCAAGCCUGAUCCAGCCAUGCCGCGUGCAGGAUGAAGGCCCUCGGGUUGUAAACUGCUUUUGUACGGAACGAAAGGCCUCCUUCGAAUAAAGGGGGGAGAUGACGGUACCGUAAGAAUAAGCACCGGCUAACUACGUGCCAGCAGCCGCGGUAAUACGUAGGGUGCGAGCGUUAAUCGGAAUUACUGGGCGUAAAGCGUGCGCAGGCGGUUUUGCAAGACAGUGGUGAAAUCCCCGGGCUCAACCUGGGAACUGCCAUUGUGACUGCAAGGCUGGAGUACGGCAGAGGGGGAUGGAAUUCCGCGUGUAGCAGUGAAAUGCGUAGAUAUGCGGAGGAACACCGAUGGCGAAGGCAGUCCCCUGGGCCUGUACUGACGCUCAUGCACGAAAGCGUGGGGAGCAAACAGGAUUAGAUACCCUGGUAGUCCACGCCCUAAACGAUGUCAACUGGUUGUUGGGGAUUUAUUUCUUCAGUAACGAAGCUAACGCGUGAAGUUGACCGCCUGGGGAGUACGGCCGCAAGGUUAAAACUCAAAGGAAUUGACGGGGACCCGCACAAGCGGUGGAUGAUGUGGUUUAAUUCGAUGCAACGCGAAAAACCUUACCCACCUUUGACAUGUAUGGAAUCCUGAAGAGAUUUGGGAGUGCUCGCAAGAGAGCCAUAACACAGGUGCUGCAUGGCUGUCGUCAGCUCGUGUCGUGAGAUGUUGGGUUAAGUCCCGCAACGAGCGCAACCCUUGCCAUCAGUUGCUACGAAAGGGCACUCUGAUGGGACUGCCGGUGACAAACCGGAGGAAGGUGGGGAUGACGUCAAGUCCUCAUGGCCCUUAUAGGUGGGGCUACACACGUCAUACAAUGGCCGGUACAAAGGGCAGCGAAGCCGCGAGGUGAAGCCAAUCCCAUAAAGCCGGUCGUAGUCCGGAUUGCAGGCUGCAACUCGCCUGCAUGAAGUCGGAAUCGCUAGUAAUCGUGGAUCAGCAUGUCACGGUGAAUACGUUCCCGGGUCUUGUACACACCGC
rnacentral:rRNA from 1 species